GGGGGAGUUAAAAUUUGAACCUCAAAGUCACAUCCUUAAUAGUAAACCCAUGUUUAUAUAAAGUUUCAUCUCCCUGACUUAAUUUAAGGAGUCUGUAGGGUUAGACAAAACUAAAAACACCUCUAACUCUGAACAUGGUUAAAUUCAUAUUGAAAUUCAACUCAUCACUUAAAUCCAUUUACAAAAUAAUUUUAAUUUUAAACUAAA